GUCGAACGGUGAAGCCAGCUUGCUGGGUGGAUCAGUGGCGAACGGGUGAGUAACACGUGAGCAACCUGCCCCUGACUCUGGGAUAAGCGCUGGAAACGGCGUCUAAUACUGGAUAUGUGACGUGACCGCAUGGUCUGCGUCUGGAAAGAAUUUCGGUUGGGGAUGGGCUCGCGGCCUAUCAGCUUGUUGGUGAGGUAAUGGCUCACCAAGGCGUCGACGGGUAGCCGGCCUGAGAGGGUGACCGGCCACACUGGGACUGAGACACGGCCCAGACUCCUACGGGAGGCAGCAGUGGGGAAUAUUGCACAAUGGGCGCAAGCCUGAUGCAGCAACGCCGCGUGAGGGAUGACGGCCUUCGGGUUGUAAACCUCUUUUAGCAGGGAAGAAGCGAAAGUGACGGUACCUGCAGAAAAAGCGCCGGCUAACUACGUGCCAGCAGCCGCGGUAAUACGUAGGGCGCAAGCGUUAUCCGGAAUUAUUGGGCGUAAAGAGCUCGUAGGCGGUUUGUCGCGUCUGCUGUGAAAUCCCGAGGCUCAACCUCGGGCCUGCAGUGGGUACGGGCAGACUAGAGUGCGGUAGGGGAGAUUGGAAUUCCUGGUGUAGCGGUGGAAUGCGCAGAUAUCAGGAGGAACACCGAUGGCGAAGGCAGAUCUCUGGGCCGUAACUGACGCUGAGGAGCGAAAGGGUGGGGAGCAAACAGGCUUAGAUACCCUGGUAGUCCACCCCGUAAACGUUGGGAACUAGUUGUGGGGUCCAUUCCACGGAUUCCGUGACGCAGCUAACGCAUUAAGUUCCCCGCCUGGGGAGUACGGCCGCAAGGCUAAAACUCAAAGGAAUUGACGGGGACCCGCACAAGCGGCGGAGCAUGCGGAUUAAUUCGAUGCAACGCGAAGAACCUUACCAAGGCUUGACAUAUACGAGAACGGGCCAGAAAUGGUCAACUCUUUGGACACUCGUAAACAGGUGGUGCAUGGUUGUCGUCAGCUCGUGUCGUGAGAUGUUGGGUUAAGUCCCGCAACGAGCGCAACCCUCGUUCUAUGUUGCCAGCACGUAAUGGUGGGAACUCAUGGGAUACUGCCGGGGUCAACUCGGAGGAAGGUGGGGAUGACGUCAAAUCAUCAUGCCCCUUAUGUCUUGGGCUUCACGCAUGCUACAAUGGCCGGUACAAAGGGCUGCAAUACCGUGAGGUGGAGCGAAUCCCAAAAAGCCGGUCCCAGUUCGGAUUGAGGUCUGCAACUCGACCUCAUGAAGUCGGAGUCGCUAGUAAUCGCAGAUCAGCAACGCUGCGGUGAAUACGUUCCCGGGUCUUGUACACACCGCCCGUCAAGUCAUGAAAGUCGGUAACACCUGAAGCCGGUGGCCUAAC
rnacentral:rRNA from 1 species